rnacentral:rRNA from 1 species
GAUGAACGCUGGCGGCGUGCCUAAUACAUGCAAGUCGAGCGAACAGACGAGGAGCUUGCUCCUCUGACGUUAGCGGCGGACGGGUGAGUAACACGUGGAUAACCUACCUAUAAGACUGGGAUAACUUCGGGAAACCGGAGCUAAUACCGGAUAAUAUAUUGAACCGCAUGGUUCAAUAGUGAAAGACGGUUUUGCUGUCACUUAUAGAUGGAUCCGCGCCGCAUUAGCUGGUUGGUAAGGUAACGGCUUACCAAGGCAACGAUGCGUAGCCGACCUGAGAGGGGGAUCCGCCACACUGGAACUGAGACACGGCCCAGACUCCUAGGGGAGGCAGCAGUGGGGAAUUUUCCGAAAGGGGGGAAAGCCUGACGGAGCAACGCCGGGGUGGUGAUGAAGGUCUGCGGAUCGUAAAACUCUUUUAUUAGGGAAGAACAAAUGUGUAAGUAACUAUGCACGUUUGGACGGUACCUAAGAAGAAAGCCACGGCUAACUACGG